rnacentral:rRNA from 1 species
GAUGAACGCUGGCGGCGUGCCUAAUACAUGCAAGUCGAGCGAACGGACGAGAAGCUUGCUUCUCUGAUGUUAGCGGCGGACGGGUGAGUAACACGUGGGUAACCUACCUAUAAGACUGGGAUAACUUCGGGAAACCGGAGCUAAUACCGGAUAAUAUUUUGAACCGCAUGGUUCAAAAGUGAAAGACGGUCUUGCUGUCACUUAUAGAUGGAUCCGCGCUGCAUUAGCUAGUUGGUAAGGUAACGGCUUACCAAGGCAACGAUGCAUAGCCGACCUGAGAGGGUGAUCGGCCACACUGGAACUGAGACACGGUCCAGACUCCUACGGGAGGCAGCAGUAGGGAAUCUUCCGCAAUGGGCGAAAGCCUGACGGAGCAACGCCGCGUGAGUGAUGAAGGUCUUCGGAUCGUAAAACUCUGUUAUUAGGGAAGAAAAUAUGUGUAAGUAACUGUGCACAUCUUGACGGUACCUAAUCAGAAAGCCACGGCUAACUACGUG